rnacentral:rRNA from 1 species
CUGGCGGCGUGCUUAACACAUGCAAGUCGAACGAAGCCAAAAGGAAGCUUGCUUCUUUGAAGCUUAGUGGCGGACGGGUGAGUAACGCGUGAGUAACCUGCCCUUAAGUGGGGAAUAACACAGAGAAAUCUGUGCUAAUACCGCAUAAUGUCGGAGAGCCGCAUGACUUUCCGACCAAAGGAUUUAUUCGCUUAAGGAUGGACUCGCGUCCGAUUAGCUAGUUGGUGAGGUAACGGCCCACCAAGGCGACGAUCGGUAGCCGAACUGAGAGGUUGAUCGGCCACAUUGGGACUGAGACACGGCCCAGACUCCUACGGGAGGCAGCAGUGGGGAAUAUUGGGCAAUGGGCGAAAAAGCCUGACCCAGCAACGCCGCGUGAAGGAAGACGGUCUUCGGAUUGUAAACUUCUUUGAUUGGGGAAGAACAAAAUGACCUACCCAAAGAACAAGUCACGGCUAACUACGUGCCAGCCGCCGC